GCGGGCGUAGCAAUACGUCAGCGGCAGACGGGUGAGUAACGCGUGGGAACAUACCUUUUGGUUCGGAACAACACAGGGAAACUUGUGCUAAUACCGGAUAAGCCCUUACGGGGAAAGAUUUAUCGCCGAAAGAUUGGCCCGCGUCUGAUUAGCUAGUUGGUGAGGUAACGGCUCACCAAGGCGACGAUCAGUAGCUGGUCUGAGAGGAUGAUCAGCCACAUUGGGACUGAGACACGGCCCAAACUCCUACGGGAGGCAGCAGUGGGGAAUAUUGGACAAUGGGCGCAAGCCUGAUCCAGCCAUGCCGCGUGAGUGAUGAAGGCCCUAGGG
rnacentral:rRNA from 1 species